rnacentral:rRNA from 1 species
CUACGGGUCGCAGCAGUGGGGAAUAUUGGACAAUGGGGGAAACCCUGAUCCAGCAAUGCCGCGUGUGUGAAGAAGGCCUGCGGGUUGUAAAGCACUUUCGGUUGGGAGGACUGCUUCUAGCACUAAUAUUGUUGGAAGUUGACGUUACCUUCAGAAGAAGCACCGGCUAACUCCGUGCCAGCAGCCGCGAGUAAUACGGAGGGUGCAAGCGUUAAUCGGAAUUACUGGGCGUAAAGCGCGCGUAGGCGGCUAGAUCAGUCGGGUGUGAAAGCCCCGGGCUUAACCUGGGAACUGCAUCCGAUACUGUCUAGCUUGAGUACAGGAGAGGAGAGUGGAAUUCCACAUGUAGCGGUGAAAUGCGUAGAUACGUGGAGGAACACCAAUGGCGAAGGCAGCUCUCUGGCCUGAUACUGACGCUGAGGUGCGAAAGCGUGGGGAGCAAACAGGAUUAGAUACCCUUGUAGUC